rnacentral:miRNA from 1 species
AGAGAUAGCACAACAAGGACGU